CCUACGGGGAGCUGCAGUGGGGAAUAUUGGACAAUGGGCGAAAGCCUGAUCCAGCCAUGCCGCGUGUGUGAAGAAGGCCUUCGGGUUGUAAAGCACUUUCAGUGGGGAAGAAAGCCUUGGGGCUAAUACCCUCGAGGAAGGACAUCACCCACAGAAGAAGCACCGGCUAACUCCGUGCCAGCAGCCGCGGUAAUACGGAGGGUGCGAGCGUUAAUCGGAAUUACUGGGCGUAAAGCGCGCGUAGGCGGUCUGAUAAGCCGGUUGUGAAAGCCCCGAGCUCAACCUGGGAACGGCAUCCGGAACUGUCAGGCUAGAGUGCAGGAGAGGAAGGUAGAAUUCCCGGUGUAGCGGUGAAAUGCGUAGAGAUCGGGAGGAAUACCAGUGGCGAAGGCGGCCUUCUGGACUGACACUGACGCUGAGGUGCGAAAGCGUGGGUAGCAAACAGGAUUAGAUACCCGAGUAGUC
rnacentral:rRNA from 1 species